UGUUCUCUGGCUGCUAAUUCUGCUUUCUCCUGCCCCGGAGGCACUCGUGUAUCCGUGCUUUUCUAUACCUUAUAGCAGGGAAGGGGCAAAGAGCAGACUUCUCCUGAGCGGAGAAAAUAACCUCUGAUUAGAUCAGCCAUGCGCCACAGUACCUUGGAACCUCCUCAGCAUCUCUUCGAGAACAAUGUUUUGUUGAGAAAUAAUAUGGACUUUCUGUUCCAGGUCUAGGAAGGGCUCCGUCGGCCGCCAGGCACUGUCCUUCUCCCACCUGGAUGCAAACAGUUUUCCUUAGUCCUGGGAUGUACCGCAAUUGCACGCCUGUAGCUUAAGAUGGUGGGACUUUCCCUCCUCCCUCUGCUUCCCAAGUAACUUGGGGAUGGGGAAUGAACCAGCUUCCUCCAAAAGGUCCCCAGCCUUGGAGCUGCCAACCAGCUCUUGGGCCUGCGGGGCCAGAGAUCCUGAGGUUCUUACGGCCGAGAGAGACCUCUUGUUCUAGGGGUGCUGUCUCCCAUGGCAUCUCCUCACUGGGGACUUCUUUGUCCCCACAACUCUCUAUUCCUCACUUCAAAUCCUGCCUCAACUGGCAAAAUUUUCACCUCUGUUCCAGAAACCUCAGCCACAGCUGGGAUGUUGCCCCUGAGCCCUUCCUCUGGUUCAGCAUGCUGAGAUGUGUGUGAUUAAAGGGCGCGUACCUGUUCACAGUGCUUUUGCCAUCCUAGAACAGACAGAGAGAGAGAAAAACCCUCAGUGUCCCAUUCCAAAGUUAGGGAAUGACUCCAGCUCAGGUGAUGCUGCGUUUGCAUUCGCCAUGAUUUCUGCUGGAGUUUCUCCUUCCCUGCCCAGAUGCCCAGCAAAAUGUCCAACCUGCAUGAAUUUACUCGGGGGUUGCUCAAGGCUCCUCUCCAUCUCGCAAAUCAGGAUAUUGAGGAGAGAAAUCCUCCCUGCCAUCUUGGCCUCCUCUUCCUCCUGCCUCCUCAUGAUCUCUUUGUCCAACUCGCCCAGCCGGGCUAGGAGGACAAGCUCUUGCUCCUUCAGAAACCGGCGCAGCUGCCGAAAUUCAGACACAAUCUUCUGCCUCUCAGCCUCCGUCUGCAUCUGCAGGACACACGGAUUGCACCAUGGAAGAGACGUUGGACAGUACCAGCCCAGCGGUACAACAGCUCUAUUUUUCGCUGGGUGAUGGUGAUAGCUAUUUACCAAGUAAUCCUGGCAUUGCCUCUCUCCAGUCAUUUUCAAUUCUAGCAGCUCCUCCCUUUGUUUUUUGAGAUUCUCCAAGUCUCCGCGAGCUUGUUCCUGGAGGAAGAAAAACCAUUUGGCAAGAUACACAGAGAAGAGAAGAAAUGCAAUGCUUGAAAAAGGAAAACACGUAUUCACUGCACAGAUGGGAGGAUUAAUGAGAAGUCAUAGGACAACAGAGGAGACCUGACUGCUUCUCCAGGAAGGCGGUUUCAUUCUCAGCUAACAGAGCUAUAGAGAACUGUAAAGCAAGCUGACUUGAAGCCUGUGAGAAGCUCCAAGAAACUGCAGCACCACUUAAGGUGGUCAGGUAACAUCACUUCCAGAGAGGACCAACCCAAGCUCAGUCAUGGACCUGACCAUGUUCUCCUGAGCAGAUUCCUUUACGCAGGCUGUAGUGGGAACUCCGUGAGCCUUUUGCCCAUCACAGCUUGAGGAAGCUUCUUUUACAUCACCCUUGUAGAGACUCUCUGCUGACCCCGACGGCGCAGUACAGCCCCUCCGCUACGUCCACCUCCCAGUAGUGCCUGCCGGAGGCGAACGCCUCGCAGCCCAGCACGCAUGGACUGGCGUCGAAGCGUUCGGGGCCGUCGGGUGGCUCCUGCAGCAGGUAUUCCCAUCUCACGCUUUUCUGAUCGUUGGACAGGAUGAGGCGAGGGUGGGCGGUCUCUGGGUCCAGAGUCACAUUUGCUGGGGUAAAAGACAAGGAGGGAGAGAAAGAAUGAACUUAUUUGAAGUAUCCUUCCCUGGAGGUCUGAUAUAGUCUUGGGAAUCUAACGGGAGACGUUGCGAUGGGGUCGGUCUCCGUCCUUCGUAACGGAGCAGGACCGAAGUGCAGAAAGGAAGGGGGUUCUCGGGACUGUGCUAACACCUCGUUGCACGGUGGUUGUUCCACCUUACCCCUCUUCUGGGCUCCCGCUCUCAUGCGCCGAGCUCCCGGAGCGGACCCCUGUUUGGCAUGUAUCAAAUUACUUACCCAGUUUUCCAUCACCUUUCCCUAAAAAAAAGCACAAUAAAAAUAUUAUUAUUGGUGAUGUGACCUUAAAGAUGAAACCAAAAGUAGUAGCAGUAGAGAAAAAAGCACUUACUAUGUUCUUCAAU